rnacentral:piRNA from 1 species
UCCAAAAUUAUUCGGAAAAAC